GAAAUCAAGAGCCAGGAGCUUAGCCAACUGAGCCACCCAGAUGCCUCUAUAUACAUAUAUAGAUCCACACCAUUCCUUCAGUGGGGCCAGCUGCAAUUAUUCCACUCUCUGUGGGAAGAUAAGGUCAGGAGAAAUGAACUAUCUACUAAAGCCACUAUACAUUGAAAUUUCACCUGGAACAUAUCAAGUGGGUUGCAGAGAUCUCUCCCCCUGGAGCAUCAAAAGGAAAAUAUUAAACAUUCCCUUCCUUCAGAGUAUGAAUUGAAAAUGGACCCAUAUUUGACCAUUAAUGUAAACAUCUUUAAUAUCAUUAAAUAUUUUCAGGGCACCUGGCUGGCUCAGUCGGUUAAGCAUCCGACUUCGGCCUAAGUCAUGAUCUCGUGGCUCCUGAGUAAA